ensembl:lncRNA
GAGAAACUAUUUUAAGAAACUGAAAUACUCCUCCAUUUAAAAGUAACGGACUGCCGGUCUCAUAAAAGAAGAACGUGCAUAUGAUUGUAAUUAGGCAUGUAAAAGUUGCUACAUUUUCUACGAGGUCCCUUUUUUGGUCAUUUUAGAUUCCUGUCAAUGUCACUUGCUAAUGUUGGCUGGAUUUAAAAGAUGUCAUCUUGAAAGUUUACCAAUACCUUCUGAUAGAGGAACUCAAGCAACACUCCAAAGAACAGUCUUCUUACCAUGGUGUGAUCCUUAGUACAUUAAUUCUAUCUUUCAAUCACAUGCAUCAGUACAGUUUGGGGCAUGACCUGCUGGAGAUGAGCUCUGCAUAGAAGGACUUGGGUCCUGAUGGACGACAGGUUGGCCAUGAGUCAGCAGCGUGCCUUUGUGGCUGAGAAGAUUUAUCCCGUAAUAAGUGUAGAUCAAAGAAAUGAGACCAUGCUGUGUAUUAAGGAAAUUGAAUGAAAAUUGAAAUCGUUACAGAAGAUCUUACAGGAUAAAGAGAGAAGUAGUG